AUUGAACGCUGGCGGCAGGCUUAACACAUGCAAGUCGAGCGGGGUGAUGGUGCUUGCACUAUCACUUAGCGGCGGACGGGUGAGUAAUGCUUAGGAAUCUGCCUAUUAGUGGGGGACAACAUCUCGAAAGGGAUGCUAAUACCGCAUAUGCCCUACGGGGGAAAGCAGGGGAUCUUCGGACCUUGCGCUAAUAGAUGAGCCUAAGUCGGAUUAGCUAGUUGGUGGGGUAAAGGCCUACCAAGGCGACGAUCUGUAGCGGGUCUGAGAGGAUGAUCCGCCACACUGGGACUGGGACACGGCCCAGACUCCUACGGGAGGCAGCAGUGGGGAAUAUUGGACAAUGGGCGGAAGCCUGAUCCAGCCAUGCCGCGUGUGUGAAGAAGGCCUUUUGGUUGUAAAGCACUUUAAGCGAGGAGGAGGCUACUUAGAUUAAUACUCUGGGAUAGUGGACGUUACUCGCAGAAUAAGCACCGGCUAACUCUGUGCCAGCCGCCGCCGUAA
rnacentral:rRNA from 1 species